rnacentral:rRNA from 1 species
UCGUCAGCUCGUGUCGUGAGAUGUUGGGUUAAGUCCCGCAACGAGCGCAACCCUUGUUAUUAGUUGCCAGCAUUAAGUUGGGCACUCUAAUGAGACUGCCGGUGACAAACCGGAGGAAGGUGGGGAUGACGUCAAGUCAUCAUGCCCCUUAUGACCUGGGCUACACACGUGCUACAAUGGGCAGUACAACGAGAAGCAAGCCUGCGAAGGCAAGCGAAUCUCUGAAAGCUGUUCUCAGUUCGGACUGCAGUCUGCAACUCGACUGCACGAAGCUGGAAUCGCUAGUAAUCGCGGAUCAGCACGCCGCGGUGAAUACGUUCCCGGGCCUUGUACACACCGCCCGUCACACCAUGGGAGUCUGCAAUGCCCAAAGCCGGUGGCCUAACCUUCGGGAAGGAGCCGUCUAAGGCAGGGCAGAUGACUGGGGUGAAGUCGUAACAAGGUAGCCGUA